GACAUUUUGAACGGAAGUUGUCCGCCAUUACGGCUCACUUACGAAUUUAGCUGCUCCAUGGCGUUUUUGGCUCCAGGCAACGCAGUUCCUCUUAUUCCAGAGGACAAUCCCAGCAGCAGCGACAGCAACAAGAGCCACAAGGACACCAAUGAUGAUAACAGUCGAUCUUCCACCUGAUUCUCCAUCUGAUCCUCCACCUGUUAAAUCAGCACAGAGUCUUUAUUCUCCGCUGCAGCAGUAAAUCAGCUUUUACCCUUUAAAUCUGUAGUUUUAUUCGGACCUUUUGGUACUUCUCGGAUUUCCUCCUCCCCCAAGCUGCUGUGCUGAACCACGCAGGUGUAUUUGUGUUUCUGCAGCUCCUCAGCUGGGACUUUCAGAAUGCUCCUCUUCUGGAAGGUUCCAUCCUGGUUGGGUAACGUCUCAUUGAGCUCAACGUCCUCAAUCACAUCCUCUCCGUCCUUCUGCCAGGUGAUAUUCAGGGCUUUGGGGAAGAAACCUGUAGCGUGACACACCACCUCUGGAGAAGGAGAGUGUUUCUGGAACACUGACACCUUGGGACGAACUGCAGAGACACACAGACACAAAUUUUUUAAAAAUUGUAAAUUAAACGCUAUUUACCAUGUGAUAAACAUUUUUCUGGCUGCAUGAAUUAUUAAGAUGGAGGUAUAAAUAUUAAAAAGAGUGCAGUAUUUCUCCUGCACUCCAGCAGUCAUUAACCUGCUGCUCACGGUGUACCGGUCAAUCUCCGGUAUUUUUAGAUCACAACACAUUUUACAAUAAAAAAACAUGCAAUGUUCAAAUAUUCACAGGUUGGUCCAGUUUGAAUUCUGCUACAUAUUUAAUUAGUGCUGUGCAUCUCUAUGGGCAGGGAGGAGCACAAGAACAAAAUAAUUCUGGCUGAUUAUGAUGAUAAAUUUUUACAGAUAACUGUUUCCGGCUGCGUCACAUCAACCUGCUGCUAAGCUCCGUAGCUAAUGUUAACUACAGCUGUGUUCUGUCACUGAGCAAACUCUGUUCAGGAAACCAUGGCCGAGCAAUGAAAGAAGGUGAGAAUACAUCAUUACCGUUCUGAAUGGGAAAAUGAACUUGCUUUUACAGGUGUGAAAGAAAAGACGGCCUGCCAUUACAUCACUUACCAUCUGAAAUUCAAGGAUUCAUUCCCACCCAAAAGUGAAAUAGGAGAGAAAAGAAUUCAAGAGUUACAACUGGUUUUAAAGCCCAGCCAUCACUUUUCACAAAACCCACCAGGAGAGCUAAAGCUGCUACUGAGGAGUCAUUCCGUGUUCUCCAUCUCCUGGCCAAGCACAAGACGCCCCUUCACCACAGUGAGAUUUUUAAAAGAAGCCACGACAGUCACAUUAUUCACAGACUUUAAAAACUAAUACACUUUGUCCAGCAGCGGGAAUGAGAAGAGUGGAGUUGUUAUCCGAGGGCAUUUCUCGAUCACUAAAAGGUGAAACUGACUGCUGUCCACGAAUUAACAGUGAAAACUGCAGGAAAUCAGUGUGAGUGAGUGUAAAUGGGAAGGUGUGUGUUUUUAUUGUGCAUCAUGUAAAGAUAGUGACACAAUGCAAAGUAAAAUGGGAUUUUUCAAUGUAAGCAUGCAUUACUGUCAAAUAUAAAUUCAAAUCAUCAUUUUGUCAUUUAAUUUUCUUCAUAAUUGGUAUUUUGUGGCCAUAAAUAAAAUUAACACAUUAACAGGGAAAAAGAAAAGAAACGACACUUUGGCUUUCAUUUUCUUAACAAAAUGCAAACUGAGUGCCAACAUUACAGUGAAUAUUUGAAUGCAUACUUUGUUUUUUCUUUUUCGUAACACUGGGCUACAUACCUGACAAAAUGCAAAUUUAAAGUAAAAUGGAUCAAUAAAAUCAAAAUCAGCUGCAAAGUGCAAACGUGUGAUUCAGUUUUCAGCUUGGACUCGCUGUCUGUGCUGAAAUGUAAAUGAUCGCUGGUAUGAAACUUUUCAUUCUCAACUUCACCUCUAUGCUAAGUAGCUAUGGGCAGGGCUAAGACUUAGGCCACGCCUCCUCUGAAUGCGGAGUUAAACAACGUGGAGGACGGAAGUGCAGCGAACAGCAGCGUGUGAGAGAUCGCUCAGGAAUUAAUGACUUCAGCAGAAUGUCAGGAUUAUUAUUAUAGUUAAAUCCAGAAAGGACAUGAGUUCAUUCUUUAAAUGUUUUGAUUUAUUGUUAAUUUUGACACGAAUGUUGAAUGCUUUAAAGGAAAAUUUAAAACGCACAGACACACUGAUAGUGCACUAUGGGAAGUUUAUGACAAAAAUAAAAGUAAAAUCCAAAGACCAUUUUCCAUUUCUGUUCAGCUGCAGUUACAGUAACAGAGCAGAUCACACACUUUACCUUUCCUCUCCAGAGUCUCUCUGCCGUUAGACACAAACUUCUUUAACCAAUAAAUACAGUCAUCCUCCAGGUAGCUCUUCCAGUAUUUAGCUUUAGCGUCUGUAGGAUCCCACUCCUUUAUAAAGAUUCCAGCUUGAGGUUUCGCUUCAGUCCAGGUUCCAGUUUUCAGAUCCAAACCCAUGAAAUCUUCUCCAUCAUAACCGUACAGAUCAUAUCCUCUAGUGGUGUUAUCAUCAUCGAGCUCACAGCCAAACAUCCACUGGAGUGUAUGAACUCCUGCACGUGCGCACACACACACACACACACACACACACACACACGCACGUAAUGAGGUGAGAUCAGAUGAGCUGACUUUCCUUCUACACUCUAUUCAAACUGCUACACUGCGUUUUUCUACUCGUCCUUUUUACAUUUUGUCCUUUGUAGUAGAACAAUGUUAUUGUCGGUAAAAGAAUAUUGAAUAAAUGUGUGUUUUGUGUCCUUCUACACUGCAUGGAUUCACAGCUCUGUGUGUAAAGUAAAAACACAUUCGGAUCGUUUUAAUCUGUGACCCAAACUGUAUAAUGGAUACUCAGUAGUUUGCCUAAAUAGAAAAAACAUUAAAAGUGUAGAGAGAAGCUCUUUAGUGUGAGAGUCUGCAGUUUGAGACAAAGCCCAAGGGUUUGUGACUCUGAUGAUAUAAUGACCUGCUGCUGUUUAAUCGAUGUUACAGAACCACUGUGUACUACUGAGAAUACAGAACGUUAUUUUGCACAUCAGUAUUGUUCUGUGCUCGUUUGUGGAUUCACAAUAAAUCCUGAGAUGAUGUCAGAAAGGAAACUGUAUUUCUGUGUUACUUUAACAGGUUUAUUACACAGAGCUGUUUCACCAGCUUAUUAAACUGCCAUUGUGUGUGUGUGUCCUUGUGUGCACCAUUGAUAAAAGCUGAGUGUGUUUCACCCUCACCUUGAGUCUGAUUAAAACAGUUCAUUAUGUGA